AACCCCCGCCGUUAGUUGCCAGCGGUUCGGCCGGGCACUCUAACGGGGACUGCCCGCGAAAGCGGGAGGAAGGAGGGACGACGUCUGGUCAGCAUGGCCCUUACGGCCUGGGCGACACACGUGCUACAAUGCCCACUACAAAGCGAUGCCACCCGGCAACGGGGAGCUAAUCGCAAAAAGGUGGGCCCAGUUCGGAUUGGGGUCUGCAACCCGACCCCAUGAAGCCGGAAUCGCUAGUAAUCGCGGAUCAGCCAUGCCCGCGGUCCGAAUACGUUCCGGCCUU
rnacentral:rRNA from 1 species